CAAGAAUUUAAAUUUUAGCCUAAAGGCUACUCCUUCCACACUAAAGGCCGUGUUCACAUCUAGCGUUUUUUUUAAUCUGCCAGCGUUUAUUUUAUAUUAUAUUCCUAUGGAGCAGAGCGUUUCUGGAAAAAGUCACGGCCGUUUUUUUUUUUUUGUGUGGACGGGGCCUAAUAAGUUAUAAAGUAACCGUUCCUUAGAUGGGUAUCGUUAUCCAGUCACUUCUGGCGUGGGUGGAACUUUAGGAUUCCAAGAAUGAAUGUUAACAACUUAUUUUGUGACAAGCAGUUUAUUAUUUUCUAUGUUCAUUGCAAACCAAAAUUCAUGAAAUAAUUCUGCCCAUGCAAAACUCGCGUCGUUUAGUGACAGUUGUCGCUCAUAAUAGCUCCAUGCUGUCGCUUAUCUGCACUGAUCCCACCACUUUACUGUUCCCCCUAAAACGAAAAAAGGGUGUUCUGAAUUCCCCUAUAUAUAUAUAUUUGCUUGCGUGUUAAUUCGCUCAGGCAGAUAUUAAUGCGCCCUUACCACUAGGUGUGGGGUAGCUUCACAGUUUCACACUUACCAUUUUUUUCCUAAUUUCACGAAACCUUUCAAACUUUCAGGUUGGAAACCAUGGAGAGGACCCUAGUGUGGUCACGGGGAAGGCUGCUUGACAUCUCCUCAGCUGAUCUUAUAAUUCGAGAUGUUCGGGAGAUUAUAGCUGAAGUUCGGAGAUCUGUGCCUACCACUCCGGGACAACAAGGCUACCAGGCACCUCUCAUUUGGACCGGAGGUCGUGGUCCCCCACAGUUAAAAAUAUCACAGGAGCAACUGUGUUUUUUGAGGACCUGUGGUUUCACUGGGAAACAGAUGGCACAGAUUCUGGGUGUCUCUGUUCGUACACUGAGCCGUCGUUUAAGGCAGUUCAACCUGAGGCGCGCUGGGACAUUUUCCACCUGCUCAGAUGCUGCCUUGGAUGACCUCAUCAGGGAGACAGUGGCUGGGAAUGACCGCAUCGGCCCAGAGUCUGUGAGGGCGCAGCUGCGUGCGCAGCAAAUUAAUGUUCAGAGGAGCAGAGUGCGUUCAAGCAUGCUGAGGGUGAACCCUGCAGCAGCUGCAGCGCGAACAAUGUCCCAGGCUCUGCAAAGAAGGGCAUAUAGAGUUGCUGGCCCAAACUCCUUGUGGCACAUCGAUGGCAACCACAAGUUGAUAAGGUAGAUAUUAACAUUAGCAUACCAGACUUUGGUGUUCGCUUUAAAGGUGUGG
rnacentral:lncRNA from 1 species